UAUACUGUUGAGCAUCAUGGAACACUGCACCACACAACACAGGGGAAAUCUCUCCCUCUACCACUUCACCUACAAAAGAUGGGCAGGCAGCAACAUGCACAGUGCAGCCAAUAUUUAACCAUCAUCAUUUCGGACACACUGCAUGCUUUAAGGUCAGCAUUUCUGCUGCAGCUUGGAGUUACUUGGUCUCUGUUCAGCAGGAAGGCAGGAAGAACAGCAAGCAGACACUUAUAAUAAUCAAUCUGUUAUGCAAUCAAGAGCAAAAAGUUAUCUUUGUGUGGACAGAUUUGAUUCAGUUCAGCAGCAUUUCUUGGUACUAUAAUGAAGAUGCUCAACAGUGAAUAAUUUCUAAGGGCUGUUAUAUUCAAGCCUGAUUGAUCAGUAUUUUAUGAAAAGAACCUGAAUAUAGAUCUCUAGACAGUUUAUGCCAAGGGGCAAGCAGUUGUAACUUAUUCAUACCUACCAUAGGCUUCC
rnacentral:lncRNA from 1 species